UGGGGAAUAUUGGACAAUGGGCGCAAGCCUGAUCCAGCCAUGCCGCGUGAGUGAUGAAGGCCCUAGGGUUGUAAAGCUCUUUCACCGGUGAAGAUAAUGACGGUAACCGGAGAAGAAGCCCCGGCUAACUUCGUGCCAGCAGCCGCGGUAAUACGAAGGGGGCUAGCGUUGUUCGGAAUUACUGGGCGUAAAGCGCACGUAGGCGGAUCGAUCAGUUAGGGGUGAAAUCCCGGGGCUCAACCCCGGAACUGCCUCUAAUACUGUCGAUCUGGAGUUCGAGAGAGGUGAGUGGAACUCCGAGUGUAGAGGUGAAAUUCGUAGAUAUUCGGAGGAACACCAGUGGCGAAGGCGGCUCACUGGCUCGAUACUGACGCUGAGGUGCGAAAGCGUGGGGAGCAAACA
rnacentral:rRNA from 1 species